CGUUUAGGGAACGUCUGUAAACGUCCAGUGAUAACUGUGAGGCGUUUAGGGAACGUCUGUAAACGUCCAGUGAUAACUGUGAGGCGUUUAGGGAACGUCUGUAAACGUCCAGUGAUAACUGUGAGGCGUUUAGGGAACGUCUGUAAACGUCCAGUGAUAACUGUGAGGCGUUUAGGGAACGUCUGUAAACGUCCAGUGGUAAUUCUCUGAUGGUCUGUGUCAGCUGACGGAGACAGAAGGAACCUGAUGGAUCUGAUAAUAAACGGGACGUUUAGGAGUUCAG